CGGCGGCGGCCCCGCUCGCGGGGCGCUAUCUACCUGCGAGCCGCGGCCCCUGCCCGGGCGCCCAGCCGUCCCGCGCGGCGCGCCGGAUCCGCCGCCGGGUUUUGCAGCCGCCCCCACCGCCGGGCCACCUCCGGAGGCCGGGUUCCCGCCACUUCGGACCUGUCGAGUGGGCUGACCUUGGGCGGGGGGCUCCGGGUCCGGGAGAAACUUCCCGAAGGAGAGGGGCUUCCGCCGCCCCUGCGCGCACACAGCCCGAGCUGGCAAGGGACGCAGCUGCACCCAGCCAUGUGCCUCCGCUCCGGGGGACAGACCCCGGCCGAGUGGAGCAACCCCGAGACGCGCAGAAAUGGGCCAGGCUCCGAGAGCCGCGCCGGGCCCUGACCCCUGCACCUGCCCGCCGCCGGGCCGCCUGAGACCCGGGCUCACCUGCAAGUGUGUGUCCCGCUUUUUCUAACGCUUUCUCCAAAAGGACUGAACCAGUCCUUUAGCCGACUUAUUUUUGGCAAGUUUUAACAAAAACUCAGCUUACCCUUAGUCUCCGUCAGAAGAGAUGGUGGCUGGACUUGGAGGCUUUGAUGACACAAAGGGGUGGCCUGCGCUGUUACUGUGAGAAUCGUUUUCACGUGUAGUCGGAAGUAGUUACUGUCACUGGUUGGAAAUUAAAUCAUGAUUGGGGCUUUGGAAUGUUCAAACUAAGUGGGAAUUUUGGCAGCACGACUAGCCAGUGGGCUUCCUGUGGUGACGAGCUGGGGAGAGAGUGGACUUAACCCGUACCUAGGUGGAGGCAGGUGUUCCGAUGCCCUGGCUCCGCGAUUCCAUGGACAGGGGCAGGGCAGGAGUUCAGAUAGCGCGUCGUCUGGGUCAGACAUGUGGCGGAUGCGACUUCCUGUUCUCUGCAAACUAGAACACUGCGGAGACCCCCUGCCAGAGCAGGGGGCGGCCCAGGGUCCUCGCUGUGUCCUAAGUAACUUGGGUUUCUUGCAGAAGAAACAUCCUACUGGUAUGUAGUCCCUUGGGUAGAAAUGUGGCUUUUGUCAACUUUUGUUAAGUAUCUUUAGAGAGAUUUUUUGGUGGGUGGCUGGGAAUGUCAAUCCCUGGUAGAGUGCUUGCUAGCAUGUGUGAGG
rnacentral:lncRNA from 1 species